AAUUCACUGUUAAAAUUUUUCAAGUAGUAAUUUAGGAUAGAAAAAAUUAGCUCAUUAGUCUUUAGACUAGAUAGCUAUAGUAUUGACCAAUAGAAAAAAAAACAAUCAACAAAUCAAUGCCAAAUGGAGAUGCACUAAAAAUACUCAAUAAUACAAAAUCAGACAAGAAAUACAACUACAGAAUACAAUAAUGACAAAAUCGAGAAUAGUUAAUAGAUUAAUGACAAUGGCUGUUGGGUUGGCAACAGAUGGAGCAGGAAGGCGCUAAAUUCAAAAUUACUGAAGAAUUUGAUCUGAGUUUCAACACACACCCUUAUGAGGGUUUGAAAUUCAGUUGCACGUCGAGUAUUGGUAGAGUAUUAUACCAAUAACUUAUCCUGAGAGUAACAGUAUUAUCUACAACAGUCUUCAACUUUUUGAAGGAUUCCCAUACAUAUGAUUCACUCUGUAUUAUAUCAAUAUUGAAAACAUCAACAUUAUAGUCACCCAGAAUUCACCUUGGAAUUUAAUUCUAUCGAUGUUCAGUGAUAGUUCGAGAGUGAUUUUCGAGAAAAUAAAUCGACUUGAAAAUUACAUUGACAAAUGCAAAAAAGUUGUUAAAAAUAGUAUGGGCAUGUGAAAAUCACGUUAUGAAUUAUUUCAAGACUUUCACUUUUAUAUGAAUUUCACGUAAAAAACGUUUCCAAAUUUACUGUUUUAUUAUAUAAAAAACGUCAUAUUUAGAUUAUGUGUGGACUGUAUCUUGUCACCGAGUCAAGUCUUAUCUAUUGUUUGUGAAUUGCGCGAAAUCCUGUUGAUAAAUUGUUCCAUCCAGAUGUGAUUUUGAACUUCAUAAAGGAGCCAAAACCAAAACAGAAGCGUAAUUCAGUAACCGCAAAACAAUGAUUUUUUGAGUAAUAGUGAGAUAGAUCGUCAGCUAUCAGAUUCUGAAUCUGAUGUGAGUGCAUUUUUCAGUUUAGAUGAAUAUCUUCCUUCUGAAUCAGAAAGUGAAUCAAGUUCAGAGACACUGUUAUUCAACAUUUUAUAAACGCGCAUCCUUCUCCUCCUGCCAAUGUUAGCAGACAACCUCAAAAAACAAGCAUCAUCUACCAUUAAAGCUAGAGAAGCGGGUAAGGUGCCAAAACUGCCGUAUAUAUUCCAUAAAAACGACAAACCACCUUCUAUGUUUGUAGUGUUUGUACAGAUAACAAUGACAAACAUUUCGGUUUAUGUAUACGGUACCUGAGUGUUUUAGAUCGUGGCACCAAUAUGACAGCCUCUCUGACAUGAUUGUUUUAUUCGCAAAUAAUUUUAUUACCUAAAUGGACAAUUUUUAUUUCAAAACAAAUUGGAUGAUUCAAUUUUCCAUCUGUAAGUCAAAUUGUAUAUUUUACUUGGAUUUUUAUUUUUAUAUUUUGGAAAUAUGAUCAAUAAUAAUAAUUUAUGAAUGCUGAA